CAAAAGACCAAAAUGACACAGACAUUAACAACUAUAGGUCACCGUACGGACUUCAACAAUUAGCAAAGCCCAUACCGCAUAGUCAGCUAUAAUAGGCCCCGAUAAGACAAUGUAAAACAAUUCAAACGAGAAAACUAACGGCCUUAUUUAUGUAAACAAAAAUGAACGCAAAACAAAUGUGUAAUACAUAAACAAACGACAACCACUGAAUUACAGGCUCCUGACUUGGGACAGGCACAUACAUAAAUAAUGUGGCGGGGUUAAACAUGUUAGCGGGAUCCCAACCCUCCCC
rnacentral:lncRNA from 1 species